rnacentral:rRNA from 1 species
AGAGUUUGAUCAUGGCUCAGGACGAACGCUGGCGGCGUGCCUAACACAUGCAAGUCGAACGGAGUGAAGCCCUUCGGGACUUUACUUAGUGGCGAACGGGUGAGUAACGCGUGAGGAACCUGCCUUUCAGUGGGGGACAACAGUUGGAAACGACUGCUAAUACCGCAUGACGCUUCUUGGGGGCAUCCCUGGGAAGCCAAAGAUUUAUUGCUGAAAGAUGGCCUCGCGUCUGAUUAGCUGGUUGGUGAGGUAACGGCCCACCAAGGCGACGAUCAGUAGCCGGUCUGAGAGGAUGAACGGCCACAUUGGGACUGAGAUACGGCCCAGACUCCUACGGGAGGCAGCA